GACGAACGCUGGCGGCGUGCUUAACACAUGCAAGUCGAACGGAAAGGCCCUGCUUGCAGGGUACUCGAGUGGCGAACGGGUGAGUAACACGUGGGUGAUCUGCCCUGCACUUCGGGAUAAGCCUGGGAAACUGGGUCUAAUACCGGAUAGGAGCCAUUUUUAGUGUGAUGGUUGGAAAGUUUUUUCGGUGUAGGAUGAGCUCGCGGCCUAUCAGCUUGUUGGUGGGGUAAUGGCCUACCAAGGCGGCGACGGGUAGCCGGCCUGAGAGGGUGGACGGCCACAUUGGGACUGAGAUACGGCCCAGACUCCUACGGGAGGCAGCAGUGGGGAAUAUUGCACAAUGGGCGCAAGCCGGAGGCAGCGACGCCGCGUGGGGGAUGACGGCCUUCGGGUUGUAAACUCCUUUCGCUAGGGACGAAGCUUUUGUGACGGAACCUAGAUAAGAAGCACCGGCUAACUACGU
rnacentral:rRNA from 1 species